AGUGAACGCUGGCGGUAGGUCUAACACAUGCGAGUCGAACGGCAGCACAGUAAGAGCUUGCUCUUACGGGUGGCGAGUGGCGGACGGGUGAGGAAUACAUCGGAAUCUACUUUUUCGUGGGGGAUAACGUAGGGAAACUUACGCUAAUACCGCAUACGACCUACGGGUGAAAGCAGGGGAUCUUCGGACCUUGCGCGAUUGAAUGAGCCGAUGUCGGAUUAGCUAGUUGGCGGGGUAAAGGCCCACCAAGGCGACGAUCCGUAGCUGGUCUGAGAGGAUGAUCAGCCACACUGGAACUGAGACACGGUCCAGACUCCUACGGGAGGCAGCAGUGGGGAAUAUUGGACAAUGGGCGCAAGCCUGAUCCAGCCAUACCGCGUGGGUGAAGAAGGCCUUCGGGUUGUAAAGCCCUUUUGUUGGGAAAGAAAAGCAGCAGGUUAAUACCCCGCUGUUCUGACGGUACCCAAAGAAUAAGCACCGGCUAACUUCGUG
rnacentral:rRNA from 1 species